AAAAAAUAAUAAUAAUAAUAAAAGGAAGAUCACAAGGGACCACCCAAAAAAAAAAGGGGGAUGAAUUAGGCCAACACAGGUACUAAGGCCCAGUCUGCCAAAUCAGUUGGUCCCAAUUCAACAUGCACAGCCACCUCUUUGCUCGCUCUCGGAGACGGCCUCGGGGAUGCCUUGGAAGUAUCUGCAAUCAAAAUCAAAACAAUAAGGCUCAACCAGCUUGUUAACAAAUUCCAUGGGCUGGUCCAAGAUUAUUCAAAUUUCAGAACACGACAUACUAGUAAAAAAUAUAAAAAUACUUGCAAGAAAGAUAAGGAACAAGUGGACUGUGAAGUUUGUCAUAUUAGAACUCCAUAACUAGCAGGAUAAUACCAAGAAAAAUAACAUAACUAUCAAGUGAAAAUAUAUAGUGUAAACUUGCAGUUUAUAUCAGUGAAAACAAAGCAUUAAUUUAAAAAACAAGGUCUACAAACUCAUCAAUAUGCUUGCCAAAAUAAACAAACAUAAUUGUCAACCUUCCCAAACAGGUGCUUCACAUUAAUAGCAAAGAACUAAUAAGAAUAUGAUUGAACGCAUACAUCCAAUAAAUACUAACACUUUGAACUGUAGAUAUUAAGUGCUAAAUAGCAUUACAAAUUCCUCAUUCCAAAACUUCAAGUUGUACAUUGACAGCCAAAAUGAAUCAUUUCAAUAGAAGGAUAUCUUAUGUUAUUAGAAAACAGUCUACCACAGCUUAGGAAGAAGAUGACCAACAAAUCCCACCUUAUUGACAAUUUUUCUAAGAUAAAUA
rnacentral:misc_RNA from 1 species